rnacentral:rRNA from 1 species
UAGUAUCAGCGUGCCAGCCGCCGCGGUGAUACGUAGGGUGCAAGCGUUAAUCGGAAUUACUGGGCGUAAAGCGUGCGCAGGCGGUUUUGUAAGUCUUGUCGUGAAAUCCCCGGGCUCAACCUGGGAAUUGCGAUGGAGACUGCAAGGCUAGAAGUCUGGCAGAGGGGGGUUAGAAUUCCACGUGUAGCAGUGAAAUGCGU